UAAUUUGAGAGCUUGAUCCUGGCUCAGGACGAACGCUGGCGGCGUGCCUAAUACAUGCAAGUCGAACGAACUCUGGUAUUGAUUGGUGCUUGCAUCAUGAUUUACAUUUGAGUGAGUGGCGAACUGGUGAGUAACACGUGGGAAACCUGCCCAGAAGCGGGGGAUAACACCUGGAAACAGAUGCUAAUACCGCAUAACAACUUGGACCGCAUGGUCCGAGCUUGAAAGAUGGCUUCGGCUAUCACUUUUGGAUGGUCCCGCGGCGUAUUAGCUAGAUGGUGGGGUAACGGCUCACCAUGGCAAUGAUACGUAGCCGACCUGAGAGGGUAAUCGGCCACAUUGGGACUGAGACACGGCCCAAACUCCUACGGGAGGCAGCAGUAGGGAAUCUUCCACAAUGGACGAAAGUCUGAUGGAGCAACGCCGCGUGAGUGAAGAAGGGUUUCGGCUCGUAAAACUCUGUUGUUAAAGAAGAACAUAUCUGAGAGUAACUGUUCAGGUAUUGACGGUAUUUAACCAGAAAGCCACGGCUAACUACGUGCCAGCAGCCGCGGUAAUACGUAGGUGGCAAGCGUUGUCCGGAUUUAUUGGGCGUAAAGCGAGCGCAGGCGGUUUUUUAAGUCUGAUGUGAAAGCCUUCGGCUCAACCGAAGAAGUGCAUCGGAAACUGGGAAACUUGAGUGCAGAAGAGGACAGUGGAACUCCAUGUGUAGCGGUGAAAUGCGUAGAUAUAUGGAAGAACACCAGUGGCGAAGGCGGCUGUCUGGUCUGUAACUGACGCUGAGGCUCGAAAGUAUGGGUAGCAAACAGGAUUAGAUACCCUGGUAGUCCAUACCGUAAACGAUGAAUGCUAAGUGUUGGAGGGUUUCCGCCCUUCAGUGCUGCAGCUAACGCAUUAAGCAUUCCGCCUGGGGAGUACGGCCGCAAGGCUGAAACUCAAAGGAAUUGACGGGGGCCCGCACAAGCGGUGGAGCAUGUGGUUUAAUUCGAAGCUACGCGAAGAACCUUACCAGGUCUUGACAUACUAUGCAAAUCUAAGAGAUUAGACGUUCCCUUCGGGGACAUGGAUACAGGUGGUGCAUGGUUGUCGUCAGCUCGUGUCGUGAGAUGUUGGGUUAAGUCCCGCAACGAGCGCAACCCUUAUUAUCAGUUGCCAGCAUUAAGUUGGGCACUCUGGUGAGACUGCCGGUGACAAACCGGAGGAAGGUGGGGAUGACGUCAAAUCAUCAUGCCCCUUAUGACCUGGGCUACACACGUGCUACAAUGGAUGGUACAACGAGUUGCGAACUCGCGAGAGUAAGCUAAUCUCUUAAAGCCAUUCUCAGUUCGGAUUGUAGGCUGCAACUCGCCUACAUGAAGUCGGAAUCGCUAGUAAUCGCGGAUCAGCAUGCCGCGGUGAAUACGUUCCCGGGCCUUGUACACACCGCCCGUCACACCAUGAGAGUUUGUAACACCCAAAGUCGGUGGGGUAACCUUUUAGGAACCAGCCGCCUAAGGUGGGACAGAUGAUUAGGGUGAAGUCGUAACAAGGUAGCCGUAGGAGAACCUGCGGCUGGAUCACCUCCUUU
rnacentral:rRNA from 1 species